rnacentral:rRNA from 1 species
UGGGGAAUUUUGGACAAUGGGCGAAANCCUGAUCCAGCAAUGCCGCGUGUGUGAAGAAGGCCUUCGGGUUGUAAAGCACUUUUGUCCGGAAAGAAAUCCUUGGCUCUAAUACAGUCGGGGGAUGACGGUACCGGAAGAAUAAGCACCGGCUAACUACGUGCCAGCAGCCGCGGUAAUACGUAGGGUGCAAGCGUUAAUCGGAAUUACUGGGCGUAAAGCGUGCGCAGGCGGUUUGCUAAGACCGAUGUGAAAUCCCCGGGCUCAACCUGGGAACUGCAUUGGUGACUGGCAGGCUAGAGUAUGGCAGAGGGGGGUAGAAUUCCACGUGUAGCAGUGAAAUGCGUAGAGAUGUGGAGGAAUACCGAUGGCGAAGGCAGCCCCCUGGGCCAAUACUGACGCUCAUGCACGAAAGCGUGGGGAGCAAACAGGAUUAGAUACCCUGGUAGUCCACGCCCUAAAACGAUGUCAACUAGUUGUUGGGGAUUCAUUUCCUUAGUAACGUAGCUAACGCGUGAAGUUGACCGCCUGGGGAGUACGGUCGC